rnacentral:lncRNA from 1 species
AAAUCUAUGAAAACUCCUAGAUCCUUUGAGAUACAUUGAACUUUCAAUGGCAUGUUUAUAUCUCGAUAUGCCCCUCUUGUUUGUGACUGGGAUGCCGAGGAUCACAAAGCGGGUGUGAAUAACCAUGCAAACUUACAUGGUGCCCUCACAUGUUACAGUCACCUAUUCGAUGUGCCGGUAAACCACACACGCUCCACCGAACUAUGACAAACAUUGAGUCACCCUUUGCUACCUUUGCUUAGAACCAUUUAGUGUGCCGGUAAACCACACGCGCUCAACUAACGUCUUAGCAACGGCACAAAGUGUAAUUUCAUGGAAUUGCAUCAUUAUACUUAUAAUGGAAGGUUUCGUCCUAUCCUACCCGUUCGGCUAACGACCCUCCACUAGUCAAGAGUGCGGUGGGUAAGAGUGGAUACCCAUUCAAUCGCCAUUUUAUAGGCAAUUUCCUUAAACACCCCUUAUAGACCAGCUUCGUGAAUGAGGCCUACUAACGGUAAGACUGACUUUUACUCAUACAUAUAUAUAAUGUUAGACUUUUAAUGUUAUAUAUAGUAUAGGGUGUAUUUUAUACUUUUAAAAUACUAGGUGGUCUAAUUUAACAAUUAUACUUUUAAUUCAAUUAAAUUGUAAACCUAAACUUUUAUGGAUUUAUUAAACCUCUUUUAAUUAUACACCUUAAUUAAUUAAUAAAACCAUAAGGGUGUGAUUUGAACUUUUUCAAAACUAUACUAGAGUUUUAGAAUUUAACAUUCCUAAUUAAACUUUUAAUCAACUUUUAAAUUCCAAAACUUGAGGGCAAGUUUUGAAACAUUUCAACACAUUAGGGUUUAGAAUUUAAAUAUGCAUCAAAAUUAAACUAUUUAAUCAAAAUUUAAAUUCCAAAACUUGAGGGCAAGUUUUGAAACCUUUUUCAAAACAUUAGGGUUUCAACUAUUUAAAUUUCAAAACAACAAAACUUUUGGGGUUCAAAUUUAAACUAUAAAACCUAAAGGGCCAAAUAUGAAACUUUUCACAACAACAAGGAUCAAAUAACAAAUAAUUCAAAUUAACAUUUAAUCACAUAAUUAUCCAUAUUUGAUGAUUUCUUGCAAAAUAAUUUAUCAAUUUACUUAAAAUAAUUAAUCAAUUAUCUUAUAAGGAAACAAUUAUCUUAUUAAUUGAUAAAUAUCUUCAAUUAGAUUAAAAAUAUAGUCAAAUAUAUCAUAUAAUCGGAUUAAUAUUAAUCUAACAUGAUAAGGUAAUUAUCCCAAUGCAAAAACAGCAAGAAAUCCCGAGAUAAGCACUGUCUGACGCACCGACUCGCCGAGUCACCCUCUGGAACUCGCCGAGUAGGGCUGACUCGCCGAGUCCAAGAGUGACUCGCCGAGUCAGGUCGAACAGUGAGGCCAAAACACGAUUUUCAGUUACAUCAAGCAUCAAUACAAUAGAAACCAAUCAAGGCUCUGAUACCACUGAUGGGUUUUGGUCAUAAGACAUCCUAUGUGCUCAUACAAACCCUAAAGCUUGGAUCUAGGUUUCUCUAUUGUACAUACUUUGAAUCCAAGACUUUGAACCCUAAUUCUAGCAUAUGGAAAUCAGAAUUCACAUGUAAUUAGGUUUAAGAACAUACCUUGAUUGUUAUAUAGCAAUAACAAUCCAAUUCCUCCUUGAAUUGACCUUGGAAAGCUGAGAGUCACAAGUGUCACUCCUCUAAUGGCUUACAAACACCAUAAGCAAGUGGAGAAGGUAUAAAGAGAGAGGAGGGAGGUUAGAAUUCGUCCUUAGAUCCUCUUGGGAAGAAGUACACGAAUUCUAAGGCCUUAGGGGUCUUUAUAUAGGGUUGGGAUUAGGUUUUCAGUCCUUAUCCUUAUCUAGUUGCUUGUCCACCAAGCAACCAUAAGAUAAGUCCUAGAAACCCUUAUCCUAGUCGAAUUCUAAGUGAUUAUCACUUCAAAUUCGUCCACCAUAUAUAUAAGAUAAUCCUUACCUUAUUUUGUAACUAUCACAUAAUUACAAUUCAGCCCCUCUAGUUUAAUUAAUUACACUUGAUCACAAAAUUAAUUCUUAAUUAAUUAUUGACCAAUAUUAAUUAAACAAAUAUGAUUUCUCCUUUAAUAUAUUAUUCUUAUAACAUAUUAAUAAAUCAUAAUAACCUCUCUCUCUAUUUAUUUCUCCAAUCAAGUUGCUUUGGUGAAGGCAACCCAAAAGGACCAUGCACCAUCGGGUCAAGUACAUACCAAAAUAGUUAUGGACUUAGACACUAAUCCAACAGUUACACCCAAUAAUACAACCACCUAAUCAAUGUGCCGGUUAACCACACACACUCCAUUUAUCUAUGAUUAGCAUUAAGCUACCCUUUUCCACGCCCUAUCAAUCUAGAUUAGUGUGUCGAUUAACCACACACACUCCACUAACAACUUAACAAGGUGCAAAGUGCAAUUUCAUGGGUUAACACCAUAUUCACAUUUUCCUAAGUAACUAAGAUUUAGGAAUUUAUAAGUGUUUAGUUACUUUAUAUUUAUCAUUAUAAUUUUAAUGAAGGUUAAAAUUUCCAAUUAAACGCGUUCAACUAACAACCCUCCACUAGUCAAGGAAGCGGUGGGUGAGAGUAGACACCCAUUAAACUGCCAUUUUAUAGGCAGUAACCUUAUACCCCCUUAUAGNUAUAAGGGUUGCAUUUUAAACUUUUACAAUUUUAGGGUUUGGAAUUAAAUGUUUCAAAAGUUAGACUUUCACAUUUACAAAUUCCAAAACUUGAGGGCAAGUUUUGAACUAUUCAAAAACUUUAGGAAUCCAUAAAUUAUUUGUUUAAUAUUGGUUUUAAUGAAAAGACUCUUGAAAAUCCAUAACUAGAGGACAAGUUACGGAGUUCAUACAAACAUUUAUGGAAAAAGACUCUUCAAGUUCAUAACCUAUAAGUUUAAUGAUCUCUUUAAAAGAAAAACUUUUCAUUUUCCAUAACUUGAGGACAAGUUACAGAAUUCAUCAAAACAUUUAGAUCAACUAUUGUAACUUACAAAAUCAAACAAUUUUGUCUAUGAUCGAAAUUAAACUCAUAAGAACAAGACAAUUCAUAUCAAACAAAUUUCAUGUAAUUAGCCUAACCAUAUAAACUAAUGCAAAACAUGAAACAUUGACAAUUAUCUUAUAAAUUGGAAAAGCAUGAUCAUUAAGACAUCAAAAACAGGUUUAUAAGUUCAAAAACAACUUAGGGUAAUGAUCCUAGUCCAAUUCCAGCCUUAGAACUCGAAAAUCUGCAUUCUGGAGCACUAACUCGUCGAGUACAUGAACUGAAACGGCAAGUUGAUCUGUUCAUAGGGUUGACUUGGCGAGUCCACUAUCCAGACAGCAAAAAAAUGAUUUUUCAAGCUUCAAAAAAAGUAGCAUCAAGUAUACAAGAAAACAACCCUAGGCUCUGAUACCACUAAAGAGUUUUGAGCAUUCUAACAAUCCUAAGGUGUACAUGCAACCCUAAAUGCUUUGAAUCUUUGUUUUCUCAACAAUACAUGCAAACUUUCAAUAUUCCAAAUGAUCAUCCUAACUAGCACACAAUGGAGUAUCUAUACUACAAAAUUCUAGUUAGAUGACAUACCUUUUGUUGUAGUUGAAAGCCUUGAACCUUUUAGAGCUUAGCAUUAAUAUUGUGAAUGCCUCAAGUUGAAUCACAACUCACCUUUGGACAAAGGAUGACUUUUGAGAGGGUAUGGUGUACACAAAUCGGUUAUGGCUCUACAAGAACACUCUAGUCUAUCUAGCACCAAUUUCACCAACCAAGGGGUUUCUUAUAUAAUAUGGUACAACUAAGGUUACGCCAUGCAAACCCUAAUGUGCAUGACUUUCCACAUUCCUUAGGCUCCAUGGGUUUUAACCUCCAUUUAGUGUCAAUGAGUCACCACAUGGUCUUAGCUCAACAUAAAGAACUAUGGAUCAUAAGCCCACUUUAUAAGAAUGAAUGAACAUAGAAUCAAUCCCCAUAUAUAUUUAAUUAGUCUAUUUUGAUCACAUAAUUAAUUCCAAAUUAAUUAUUGAUCAAUACCAAUUAAAUAAUAUGAUUUCAUAUUAAUAUAUUAGAACUUAUAAUAUACAUUAAUAAAUCAUAAAUAACCUCAUCUCAAAAGUCCAUCCUAUCAAAUUGUCCUGGUGAUAUGAAACCCAAGUGGACUAUGCAACUCUCGGGUCAAGUACAUAUCAAUUAUAGUUAUGGACUUAGACACUAAUCCAAUAGUGCGAGCCACUGAUUCUGACCUUGCCAAAGAGCAUCGAUGAUUUCGUGGUUUACUAUGAUGCUUCGAUCACAGGUAUGGGUGCAGUGCUGAUGCAGCGGGAUCAGGUGAUAGCGUACGCUUCGAGGCAGUUGAAGGCUCAUGUGGCGAACUACCCAAUGCAUGAUUUUGAGUUGGGGGAUGUGUUUUUUGCUCUCAAUAUUUGGUGGCAUUACCUUUUAUGUGGUUCUUUCUACCAUUUACAUGGACCCCAAGAGUUUGCGGUAUCUGAUGGACUAGCCAAAUCUGAACAUGAGGCAAUGUCGUUGGCUAGAUAUGGUAAAGGAUUAUGACUAUGAGAUCCUUUCUCACCCGGGGAAGGCCAAUGUGGUGGCCGAUGCUCUUAGCUGCAAGGUAGUGGCGGCUCCUAUUCGAUACAUAUGUUUUAGGAUGACAAUGAUUACUCCAUUAUUGGAACAGCUUUGGGUGAUGUAGGUCGAGGGUAUGAAAGAAGAGCAUUAAAAGUGUCAGUAGAUCAUAGGUCAGCUAGCCUUAUUUGACUACGACAUUCGUAUUUUGUUAAUCGUGCAUCAGAGGGUCUAGGAUCCUUAUUGGGGUGGUGUAUGCCAGGUUCUGAUGGAGGAGGCCCACAAAUCGGAUUUUCCAUCCAUCCCAGGGCGAUAAAGAUGUAUCGGGAUCUUCGCUCUUAUUAUUGGUGGCCCUGCAUAAUGUGGGGCAUAGAAUGGUAUGUCGAGCGGUGCUUGACUUGCAGGAAAGUCAAGGCUGAGCACCAGCAACAUCACGGUAAAAUGCAGCCGUUGGAUAUUCUAGUGCGGAAAUAGGAGGAUAUCACUGUGGAUUUCAUCACGAAGCUUCCCAGGACCACACGUAGAGUAGAUUCGAUUUGGGUCAUCGUGGAUCGAUUGACAAAGAGUGCUCAUUUCAUCCCUAUCCAGGAGAGUAUAUCGGCUGAGAAGCUAGCCGAGAUCUAUGUCCACGAGGUGGUGGCACGUCACAGAGUGCCAGUUUCGGUUGUGUCAGACCAAGGUGUUCACUUCACUUCCAUAUUUUGGAAGCGGUUUCAUGAAGAGUCGGGUACUCGUCUUCACUUCAGCAUAACUUUUUACCCUCAAACUAAUGGGCAAAUUAAGAGGACAAUCCAGACUCUUGAGGAUAUGCUGCAUGCAUGUGUGAUGGAUUUUGGCAGUAGUUGAAACACAUAUCUUCCAUUAGCGGAAUUUUCAUGUAACAACAGUUAUCACACUAGUAAAGAUCAACCUCCCUUUGAGACGCUCUACGGGAGGGAGUGUAGGACCCCAAUCUAUUGGGGUGAGGUCGUUCAGAGAGUCAUAGGGAGUACUGAGGUGGUAGUCAAGACCAUAGAGAAGAUCCAAUAGGUCCGGAGCAGGCUCCCGAUUGCUUAGACUUGGCAGAAAAACUAUGUUGACAAGCAUCAUUCAGACCUAGAAUUUCAGGUAAGAGAUAUGGUGCUGAUGACGGUGUCACCUUGGAAAGGUGUCAUCCGGUGUAGGAAACGGGGCAAGCUGGGCCCUAGGUAGAUCGGUCUAUUAAGAUUUUUGAAUCAGGUGGGUCGUAUGGCCUACCAUUUGGAUCUUCCAGCAGAGCUUAGCCAGAUCCACACCAAUUUUCAUAUAUACCAACUGCGGAAGUGCUUGGUGGAUGACUCCGCAGUUGUGCCUUUAGAGGAUAUCCAAGUGGAUGACAACCUGAACAACAUUGAGAGGCCAACGACAAUUUUGGAUAACAAGAAGAAAACCUUGAUAAACAAGGUUGUAAAGUUAGUGAAGAUGCAGUGGAUGCACUGUAAGGAGUCAGAGUGGACUUGGGAGCCUGAGGAGGAGAUGAUAGAGCAUUACCCAGAGUUAUUUGAGGAAGCAGACAUCAAGGACGAAGUUUGAGACAAUGGUUCCUGGUAUGCAUUUAAUUAUAAUUUAUUCAUUUUUAUAGAGAAGCUCGACGAGUUGGAAGCCCCAAACUCGUCUAGUAGAGAAUAUCAGGACCGCAUGAUUUAAGUAAUCUACUCGACGAGUUGAGUGUCCUCAACUCGAUGAGUAGAUCGUCUGUGAAGAAAAACCUAAUUUCUAGGGUUUUGCACCCUAUUUAAAGGACUUAAUCUCUUCCCACCAGCCCCCAUCAGCCUCCCUGAAACCCUAAAUUGUAUUGCGUGCUCCUUGGUGAGAAACUUGAGGUUUUGAGUAGGUUUUUUGUGUUUUUGUGCUUGGUGAAGGACUUGAAAGAACUAGAAUGUCAUUGAGCUUGAGGGAAGCACUAGAUCUGGGAUCUCGAGAUUGGGUCCACUUGAGGCAUGUAAAGCCAUCAAUUUGUCGAGUUUACAGAAAUAUACCAUGGAAACUAUGUAGAUCUAUGUUUUGGAACCUUAGAUCUGAGGAAAGGAUUGAAUAGACCUAAAAUGCAAAGAACUCGGUAGGUUCAUAGAGGAACUCGAUGAGUUGGGUUGAACAUUCCAUAUUCUAUUAAUGGAGCUCGGCGAUUCCAUAAGGGAACUCGACAAGUUGUACUGGGAAGAUCUCGUUUCUAUUGAGAAGAAGGAACUCGGUGAUUUGGAGGAAAACUUAAUGAGUUAGAUCGCGUUUUCGCGAUUCUAUGAUUCAUGAGAACUCGACGAGUUGAAGGGUAAACUCAACGACUUGAGUCAACUUGGAGCGUUGACUUUGACUUGACCUUCACUUUGACUUAUCCAGAAUUGACCUUAAGAUUUAUAAGUAUGAAUAAUUGUUAGAUUAGGUGUCUACGCCCAUAACAAUCAAUGGUAUGUACUUGAAUGGAUAAUAGCAAUGUCCUUUUGGGUUGCCUUCAAACCUGGUAAUUGAAUAGGAUAAUUGUUCGAGAGAGAAAAAUGAUUUAUUAAUUUAUUAAUUGGUUAAUAAAUUAAUUUGAAAUCAAGAUAAAUGAUUUAUUAAUGUAUUAUGGAUAUAAUAUGUUAAUUAGAAAUCAUAUUGUUUAAUCAAUAUUUAAUCAGAAAUUAAUUUGGAAUUAAUUUUAGGAUUAAAUGAAUUAAUUGAAACUGAAUCAGCAACGAUUUGGCGCACUGGUCAAGCAAAUUUGUUGGGAAGAUCAACCUCCUAAACUUCCAUGAAUAUUGACAAUGGUAACAUUGGAUGUCCAGAAAAGUCUCCUCUUUCCAAUGGAAAGGGAUUGGUCGAGGUCAAACCAUUUGACCAAAUGGUAAAGACAAAGGCUGAAUUUGAAAUUGUCCCAUGUGUUGUUCCAAAAGAGUCUAUUUGUUUCUACUGCUAAGAGAAGAGGCAUUGGAUGUGAAGCUGCCAUAUGUACCUGAAAGAUCAAAAGGAUGGGUGAGUCAAGAUGUAUGACUCUGCUUCAGGUAAAUCCACUAUCUAACUCUAUUAGGUUUAUAUUUGUAGAUUAUUAAUACAUGAUGUGAUAAGAUUACAUUUUGAUGUUUUGUAGGAUCAAAGAAAAGAAAGGAAGCUUAAAGGAAGAAGUGAGUUGAGUCUGGUCACGGAGAGAUGGAUUUUGAUCGCAUGGUUCGGUGAUUGGAUUUUUGAGCUACUACUUAAGAGUUAUGAUAGAUUGCUUAGGAAUAUUUAGUUAAAUAGUUUUCAUUUGUAAUUGUGAUUGUAAGGACAAGUUUUUCUACAUUUUUAUAAAUAAAAUAAAUUUUGGUUUUUUGUUUUUUAUAUCCUUGCAAUGGCAUUUGUGAAAAUUGAUGUUUGUAUGUUUCUAUUGUUAGCAAUACUGAAAUGGAUAUGAUUCUUAAUUAUGAUAUUUGUGGUAGUGUCAGAAAAUUUCCAAAUAAGGAAAGAUUCUCAUCACCCAAAUUUCAAUUGGAUAGAAACUUGGAAUCAUGCGACUUGCAUUGUAUGAUGAAUGAGAACCUUCAUCUUUUGGAAAAUUAAGACUAAUUCAUUGUUCAUACAAGUAUGUGAGUCAAGUGAAGGACUAAAGGGUCCAGUACACAAUGGUGUGCAUUGGUCAGGUCCACCACAAAGAACAAUAAGACUAUUUGUCGUGAUUUACUAAAAGUUUAGUAAACAUGGUUAUACUUACAAGAUUAAGUGUGAUUCGGAAUCAUUGAAAAAGCUUCAAUGUAAAGUAGAACGAAUAGGAAGAAUCAAUUAGGCCGAAAGAUAAAAGUUUCUCCAUUCUAAAAAUAAGGGAGAGCACUUAAUUAUCGUGUUUUACGAUUAACCUAGUGAUUAUUAAGUCGUGUCACAAUUGAUCCUCUAAGAACACCUUAGUGCAGUAGUAUGGCUCAGAGCAGGAAUCAGAAAUUGUUGAAUGGUUAAAUUAAAAGGUGAAUCAUACUUCGUUCCAAAAUCAAGUCUUAGAGUGGUACUCCAAUAUUGUGUAUUGAGUGACAUGUCGUAAGUAUGUUUAUAACACAUCAUCACAUAUGGAGUAGAAAAGUUUUCUUAGUCCUGCACGGUUAAAAUUGGUAAGUUGUGAUGUCUUGGAUAAGACAAAGACCAACUAAGACUAAUCGUGUGUUGUGGUUUUGUCUUGAUAGGAACCCGCACUAACUCUUGAAUAUUUGUUUGUCAAGGAAUGUUUCUUGACAAGAGAAUCCUAUAUGUCAAGAGGUCUGUGGGGGUCUUAAUGAUCUUCAAAUGUUUCAAGAACAAAUCAAGAAUAAACCUAAUUGCUCAUCAGUAGCACAUGACUUGAGGUUUAUAACCUAUCGUGAUGACAUAUUCUUGUUUCUGUGUCAUUCCAAUAAAUUUGACUAUGCAUAUGAGGUCUAAGAAUUCUCAAUUGAUUGCAUAAAGCAAAGCACCAUGAUUGGUGAAAGUUCAUUAAUCUGUAUGGGUGAGCUACUUGACUACUUGGAAGACAUGGUAGGCCCUUAUGCUGCUAGGUGGCAAGAAAUAAAGAUUGAACAAGUUCAGUCCAUAUGAGUUUGGAUUUGUCACAAACCUUGUCUUAUGAUUAUGGUUAUGACAAAUUCACAUGAAUAAGAACACAUACACCAUAAAAUCUAAGUGUCAUAAGGUUUCUUUUUGCUUCAUGAAAAUGAUUGUGAGCAAACGCUUUCACUAAGAAGAUUUUAGGAGAUAACACUAUGUAAAUUGAAUUCUCAAAUUCGAUUAUGAUUACGGUAUCCCUUUUCAUUGUUUGAAUUAUGAGAUUUGGCAAUUAGUCUGAACAUUUGGGACUUAUUGUAUUAAAUUAUGAAUUAGUUCAUACACACAUACGAGUUAUCUAAGGAAAGGUGUAUGAGUUUAAGAAGCUUAGAUAAAGUCUUAUCAAAGCAUCUGGUAUCAGAAUUAUGAACUUUGGUAAUUAAAGUCAAUAAGUAUUGAUUUCUAGAAGUCCAGCUGAUUUCUGAAUACAUGUCAAAGCUAGUGGGAGCAUAAGUGUUAUGCUGGUAAGGAAAUAAUUAUCAUGAUAAUAGGAGCAUGAUUAUUUUGUAUUGCAAUUUAGCAAUAUUAAUUAUAGAAAAACAAAAGUUUUAAUUCGUCAAGUUGCAGGGGUUGAGAAGUUGUUUUACUAUAUUUAAGGGAGAGGAACUUAUACUUCAUUUCAAGUCUAAAAGCUUAGAUGAAGAAAUCUUAAUCAAACUUAGUCAUGGACAUAGAUGAAUGUUAUGUUGAAAAGGUUCAACAUAAGGGAAUUCUAUAUAUGGCCAUAUUAUAGCAAGAGACUGGUAAAGUAUCAUGUCUUUAUGUAAGACAUUAUGUAUCGUAUCCCAUAGGCUUCAGGUAUUGGAUCAAUUACAUAUGUUGUAAUAUUCGACACUUUUGAUUUUCCAAAUGCCUGGGCAUUAAGAGGGAAAAAGGACCAGAAUCGGAUAGCACUAAAAUAAUUAAACAACUAUCAAGAACGAUCUAAGGUUUGCUAAGGAUUGGUCGCUAGAAGGCAGUUGGAAGUAAAGUAUUGAAUAGAACAUAUUGGCAUUAUUAUAAAUAGACAGAAUUCUAUUAAGAAUGAGUUGUUAUAUGGAAAAUAUGGAAAUUUUUUCAUAAUGGGAGUUGGGGGUUAAGAAUCUAUGUGCAGAUUAGAAACUUUUAUGCAAGAAGGAUGUUCAAGGGAAUGCACUUUGAAUGUGAGACUUCACGUCUAUAGAGCUAUCUUAUAACAAUCUCCAAUAGAGCACUUUGUAAUAUCAUUGGCAGAGUCUUGAUGACUUUGUGAUGGGUUUUAUACAAAAGAACAAUCAUAUUUGCUCAUAAAAAACCCUAAAGCUUGGAUCUAGGCUUCUCUAUUGUACAUGCAAUUCAUCCAAGACUUGAACUAAUCAAGCAUACACUGAAAACAAAAACUAAAAUGAACUAGUUUAGAUGAUACCUUUCAAUUCUUACAAGAAUCCUUUGAUCUUCAAGAAGCUUAGUGUCACAAGUGUAACACCUCUAAUGACUCACAAACACCAAAAGCAAGAGGAUGAUGUUUAGGAGAGAGGAUGAGAGGCAAAAGUCGGCUCCAUGCUUCCAAGGGAUCAAGUGGCCGAUUUUGCUAUCCCUAGGGGUCCUUAUAUACUUGAGCUACUAGGGUUUCAGUCAAAACCCUAAUUGGAUGACUUAGGCCCUAAGUAACUUGAGAACCUUCUGGAAUAAGGCCUCCUUGGACGGAUUUAAGAUGGACUCCACCUUAAUUUCGUCGAUGCCCUAAUCCAUAAGGAAUCUUAUCCUAAUAUCAACUAUCACACAAUUGACAGUUCUAGUCCCCUUUGUUUAAUUUAUCUCUUUUAUCCAUAGAAUUAAUUUUUAAUUAAUUCUUGACUAAUAUUAAUUAAACUAUAUGAUUUAUCUUUUAAUAUAUUAUUCAUAUAAUAUAUUAAAAAAUCAUAAUAACCUCUCUUUUUCCAUAAAUCAUCCUAUCAAGUUGCUUUGGUGAAGGCAACCCAAAAGGACCAUGCACAACUGGGUCAAGUACAUACGAAAUAUAGUUACGUGCUUAGAUGCUUAUCCAACAGUCUCCCACUUGGAUAAGUCUAGUAACUAUAGUGCAAGUACGGUCCGAUUAGCAAUUAUAGCUCUCAAAGACAUUGUCGAACUCUGAUCUUAUCAGUAACCAGUCCUUUAGAUAAGGGGUCGUAUAGUCCUCUGUUCUAGAUAUCGUGCAGAAAAUUACAUGGAACAUAGUCAUAAUUAUUGUCUAGCAGUUUGUUUCUCGAUCUCUAAUUUGUCUGGCAUUGAACUUAAUUUAAUACAUCAACUCAGUCCUGAUCGGGCCUGGCACAUAAGUCAAACCAAAUCAUCGAGGGGCCUAUAUAUCACUUUUACCCUCUUAGGAUAAAAGGAACAAAUAAAAUUUGACUUAUAUGCAUUUACCAUUUACGCAUCAAAUCAUGCACAACAAUGUGUUUUAUAACAUCAAGUUACAGAUGCAUUUACGCAUUAUCAAUGCACAAACAACUCGCAAGUAAUAAACGAUAUAUCUAGGUUUUAAGACCAUAUGAUAUUAUCAUCUUGCGAUCACUCGAGAUAAAUUCCAUGAAGUGAUACCACCAAGCGUGGGUUUAAUCCAAUGCUCAAAUCUCAUUCAUAAGCACUCGUGAACGUUGCAGCAAACAUUUGCUAUGUCUAAUACACUUUUGACAAUCUACAAACCAAUUCACGACAAUCUUCUUUCAUACCUACUCCCAAAGUAUGAUCCACAAUGGAACAUUCGAAUAAUCCUAUUAUUCAGGAAAUGAAAAAAUGCAAAGUGUAAAAAUAGGUAAAAAAUCAACAUAAAACAGUAACUUUACUUAUAAAUAAUACCCCUUUCUUUAAUCAUCAAAUGUCAACUACAUUUAUCUAUUACAUGUUUCGAAGCUAUCUAAUCUAAACUAAUAUUGUCCUUUAGCUUGAUGCUCCUAGCAUGUUGCAACUGCUUAAACCUUUUAGUCCCUUCGUAAGGGGAUCUAUUGGGUUAUCCUCUGACGAUACCCUCUUUACUACGAGGAGUCCCUCUUCUACCCAAUGUUGAAUAAAAUGAUAUUUCUUGUUGAUAUGUCGAGAUCUGUCAUGAUCCCUUGGUUUCUUUGUCAAGGCAACCACUCCUUCAUUGUCACAAAAAAUUUCCAUGGGAUCCUUUAUGGCUGUCACAACUCCAAGGUCUCGGAUGAAGUUCUUCAACCAUAUUGCCUCCUUUGGCGCUUCGCUCGCCGCUAUGUACUCUGAUUCACACGUUGAAUCAGCUAUGGUCUCCUGCUUGGAACUCUUCCAAGUUAUUGCUCCUCCAUUAAGGGUAAAGACUCAGCCCGACUGUGAACGGUAGUUAUCCCUGUCGGUCUGAAAACUGGCGUUACUAUACCCUCGCACCCUUCAGUCAUCAUUCCCACCGAGUAAUAGAAACCAUUCCUUGGUCCUCCGAAGGUACUUAAGAGUAUUAUUGAUGGUGGUCCAAUGUGCUUUGCCAGGGUUCGCUUGAUAUAUGUUGUCCAUGCUCAAAGCGAAGGCCACAUCAGGGUGAGUACAAGUCAUCACAUAUAAGAUCGAGCAAACUGCGGAAGUGUAUGGUACUCGACUCAUCUCUGCUAUCUCGACUUUGGUACUCGGGCUUUGUGUCUUAAUCAACUUAGCAUUACUUUGGAUUGGUAACUCCCUUUCUUGGAAUUCUCCAUACUAAAAAGUUUUAGUACCUUGUCCAAGUAUGUAUUAUGACUAAGUCCUAUUAGUCUUUUACUCAUGUUUCUCACUAUCCUUAUUCCCAAAAGAUAGGCAGCCUCUCCGAGAUCCUUCAUAACGAAACACUUCCCAAGCCAGGACUUGACUUCCUACAACGUCGGGAUGUCAUUUCCUAUGAGUAGUAUGUCAUCAACAUAUAAUACGAGGAAGCUAACUAUACUCCCACUAGCCUUGACAUAUACACAUCAUUCAUCCUCGCUUCGUAGAAAACCAAACUCUUUGACUUUCUCAUCGAAACAAAGAUUCCAUCGGCGAGAUGCUUGUUUCAAUCCAUAAAUGGAUUUCUCAAGCUUACACACUCUAUUAGGGUGAUUUUCAUUGACAAAACCCUCUGGCUAACUCAUGUAAACAUCCUUAGCCAACUUUCCAUUAAGGAAUGCAAUUUUGACAUCCAUCUGCCAUAUCUCAUAGUCAUGAAAUGCAGCAAUGGCUAGCAUCACCCUAAUAGACUUUAUCUUCACAACUGGUGAGAAGGUCUCAUCAUAGUCAACUCUGGGAGUUUGAGUAAAGCCCUUCACAACCAAUCGCGCCUUAUAGGUGUGUACCUUCCCAUCCCUGUUGGUCUUCUUCUUGAAGAUCCACUUGCACCCAACCGUCUUACGACUUGGAACAUUGUCAACCAAAUUCCAAACUUUGUUGUCAUACAUGGACUGAAUCUUGUUGUCUAUAGCCUAGUUCCAUUUUGCAGACUCCGGGCUUGCCAUGGCUUCCUUGUAGUUAUUAGGUUCAUCGAAAUUUAUUAGUGUACUAUCACUAAUAAACGUAUCAUUCUCACUUGUUAUAUGAAAACCAUACACCACAGGUGGAACACUAACUCUACCGGAACGUCUAAGAGGUAAGGAUUCGUCAAUUGGUUCAACCGGAGUUUCCUCCUCGGGUUGAGCGCCAGUAAUAUGUUCCUUCAUUGCUCGACUCUUGAAGCUCUUCAAGAUCGAUUUGCCUCUCAUUGUCCCCUUGGAUUAUGAGUUCUCGCUCUCGAAAAACCCCUCUCCUUGCAACGAAGACAACAUUGUCACCCAGUUUAUAGAAGAGAUAUCCAAAGGACUUUUGCGGGUAGUCAAUGAAAAUACACCACUCGCUAUGAGGCUCGAGCUUGUCGUGAGUCUCUUGUCUUACGAAACCCUCGCAACCCCAAACCUUCAUAUGUGCCAAUGAGGGAGCUUUACUUGUCCACAUUUUGUGAGGUGUUUUGGCAACCUUCUUUGUAGGGACUAAGUUGAGGAUAUGGGCGGCAGUCUCUAAGGCAUACCCCAAGAAUGAGAUAGGUAGCGAAGCAUGACUCAUCCUGGAACAAACCAUGUCUAGUAAUGUUCGAUUAAGCCUCUCAGCUACACUAUUUAAUUGUGGUGUCCUAGGUGGCGUUAAUUGUGAAACGGUUCUACAUUCCUUCAGGUAGUCGUGGAAUUCAAGACUUAGGUACUCUCCUCCUUGAUCGGAUCGAAGCAUCUUGAUUUUCCUACCCAACUGAUUCUCCACUUCUUGUUUAAACUAUUUGAACUUUUCAAAGGUUUCUGCCUUGUGCUUGAUUAAGUAGAUAUCCCCAUAUCUACUAUAAUCAUCGGUGAAAGUCACAUAGAAGUGGCAUGCGUUCCUUGUGGUGGAUCUAAAGGGCUCACACACAUUGGUGUGUAUGAGAUCCAAUAAACUCUCACCCCUUUCACAAGUACCAGUGAAGGGUGACUUGGUCAUCUUUCGAAGUAAACAAGACUCGCACACGUCAUCGACCCUAAGGUCGAAUGACUCUAACAUUCCAUCCUUUUGGAGUUGGACUAUGCGUUUCCUAUUAACAUGUCCAAGAAGACAAUGCCACAAGCAUGCUUUAUCCAAAUUAUUGGAAGAAUCGAUACACAACACAUCAUUUCCUAAAUUGUCAACAACCAUCACAGUUUCAUAUAUUCCUUACAAGGCAAUGCUUCAAAAUAGAAAACACCAUUAAGAUAAGAAUUAAUAGAACCCUUUUCAUUAUAAAAUGAAUAUCUAAAUUCUUGUCUAUACAAUCCAUGAAAAGAAAUGAUAUUUCUUGCCAUUUCUGGCGGAUAGCAAUAAUUAUUCAAAUCUAGUCCUAAUCCAUUACUAAGCACUAAAGAGUAAACUCCAAUCAUGGUGACAGGCGACGAUCUUAUGUUCCCCAUGAUCAAGUUUAUCUUCUCAUUCUCCACAUCCCUAUUUUUUCUUAGGCCCUGCAAAUCUGAACAAUUGUGAAAACCACAUCCUGUAUCAAGAACCUAAGAAAAAGCGUGUGAUGAACCAUUAGAUUGAAUAGUAUAAAUACCUGCGAAUGAUGACUUGAUCUUUCCAUCCUUUAUAUCUUACAAAUACUUUGGGAAGCUUCAUUUCCAAUCCCCUAUUUCAUGGCAAUGAUGGCACUCUGCAUCCUUGGGGUUGGAGUUGGGUCUAGUAGAACCAGCCUUCGUUCCACUAGAAGAAGUGCCGUCUUGGGACUUUUCAUUACGGUGGCUCUUUGAGGGAGCCUUCCUCUUCUUAACCUUUCCUUGCCUAAUAACCAAGACUAGGGUAGCAUUAGGAGUAGGAGUUUAUGCAACAGACUUAUCCUUGAGGUUACUCUUGGCAAUCCUCAAUAGACCUUGCAGCUUGCUCAACAUGAACUCCUCUUUGUUCAUGUGGUAGGUCAUGCGAAACUGGUUGAAGCAAGGUGGCAAUGAAUUAAGGAUGAUGUGAAUUGCCAGCUCUUCAUCGAAGUUAAAAUUUAACUUCAGCAAACGAUGAACACACCUUUGCAUCUUUUGCAGAUGUGCAGUGACAGACUGUCUAUAUCUCAUUUUGGUCAUGAUCAUCGAAGAGAUGAUCUCGUACCUCUCCUGCCUCGCACUUUGGUGAUACCUUUCAACCAAGUCCUAAUGCAUUUCAUAGGGAUAGAAGUCCUUGUAGGAAUUUUGGAGUGGAGCAAUCAUUAUUGUAAUCAUGAUGCAAUGGACUUUCGUGGCAUCACAAUCAUAGGACUCGAAGGCAGCGAUCUCUUCGGGAGUGGAAGUGUUCAUGUACACCUCUUUUAGCUCCUUGUCGAGGAGAUAUUCCUUGUCCUCAUAAUGGGUACCCAUUCUUAUGUUACAGAUCCAAUCAAUAAAAUUGUUCCCGUCGAAAAUCACCCUCCAACACAAGUUCAUGAGUGAGAAUGAGCCGGAGGCUUUUGAGCCAGAAGUGUUGUUGUUUAAGUUCGACAUUUGGAAAGGAAAAAAGACAAAGGUUGAUUAGAUAAGAAUCCCCAAUUAAACACCCAAAUAAAAAAUUAGGGCUAGGAUCCAACAACAUUAUUUGCAAUUUACAAAAGGGAUGUCGUAAUCUAAACAACAAAUAAUUUGAAGGUAAGUGAAUGACGAUUCACUAAUUUCCACCAUAAAAAACAAAUUAAAAUUAAGUUUUAAAUAUAUUGAAAACUCCUAGAUAUUUUGAGAUUCAUUGAACUUUUCAAUGGCAUGUUUAAAUCUCGAUAUGCCCCUCAAGUUUGUGAUUGGGAUGUCGAGGAUCACAAAUCGGGUGUGAAUAACCAUGUAAAUGUACACGUUGCCCCCAAUGUUACAGUUAGCUAAUCGACAUACUGGUUAACCACACACGCUCCAUCGAUCCAUGACAAACAUCGAGUCACCCGUUACCACCUUUUCUUAGAACCAAAUUAGUGUCUAGGUUAACCACACAC